rnacentral:lncRNA from 1 species
CCUGCCUGGGCUGCACAUCAGCCACACUUCUGUCACUGUGGAAGGUGGUUGCAGAGCACAGUUCCUGGUUUUCCUGGGUUUAGGAAUUAGAAGAGGAGACCAAAACCAUUUUGAGUUACAGAAGCAUGGGCAAUUGAAGUUGUACUCUUUGAUGUUUCUGCCACAAAGGGAAAACCUUGUGAGAGAGGACACUAUCUCGGAGAGAAGACACUCCAACAUUUGUUGGCUGAAAGUAUAAGAGCAUUGUCUGGGCCUCAGAAGGGAAGACACAAGCCCAGCUAGCUCUCCCGGGGAUGAGUUUACAGUACUGUGCUAGGAAGGAAAGAACAGCUCCUGGAUAGAGUCCUGGAUCGGCAUCUGCCCCGUGUGGUGUGUGACAGGGCACAGUCACACAGUAUCCUCAGUACCUCAGCUUCC